rnacentral:lncRNA from 1 species
GGGGCAGCCCAUCCCUUACCCAGAGCCUUCUGGAGUUCAAGGCCAAAGUCAACGUGGGCCCUGGACCCAGAGCUCUCCACUUGACAGAGGACUCACACCGUCCAGGUGCCGGAGGUGGGGAGCUGCAGGCACACGCACAGGGGCACGCAGACAGGUGCACACGCACGCACGGGAGCACACGCACCAGCGCCCACGUAUGCAUAGGUGCACACACAAGGUACACACACAGGUGCACGCUCACAAGCGCACACACACGCACAGGUGCACACGCUCGCACAGGCACGUGGAGCUCCAGGCCCCCUCGGGUUUGGGCGGAGGACCGAACGGCACAAACACGGGGUGAAGUUCGAGAGGCUGGGGAAAGGGCCACAGGACAGCAGUCGGCCGUCCGGUUCUCAAUCCCCCGCGCCAGUGGUGUUCAGCUGGCCUGACCGACCACGCACGUGUAAGGCUCCUCGUCAGGGUCUACAGAUGGUCGCUGUGGCCCCACACCCAGCAUGUCAAGCUCGCAAGCUGCCAUUCGGGGAGUCGUCUCUGGAGAUGCGCUAAUUGAAACCAACGGAAAAUAGUAUGUUUUCCUGCCGGUUGGGGUUGGAAUGGUUGACCCCGGCCUUCUGUGACCUUCUUAGGGGACUUGGGCUAUUUGGGUUAGUUAUGCCAGUCCGUUCUCACAGGAAUGAGUUUUAGCUUUGAGGAACUGUCGGUCUGGGCCUGUCUCAACGUUUUUGGGCAAUUUGGAUGUUUUCAACUUAAAAAAAUUUUUUUAACUAAUUUUUUUUUUUUUUUUUGAGAGAGAGAGAGAGAGAGAGCAAACCGGGGAGGGGCAGAGAGAGAGGGAGAGAGAAUCCCAAGCAGGCUCCAGGCUGUGCAGAGCCCGACCACAGGGCUCUAUCUCAUGAACUGUGAGAUGUGACCCAGGUUGAAACCAGGAGUUGGACAUUUAGCUGACCGAGCCCCCCGGACGCCCCUGGAUGUUUUCAACAUUGGCAAGAGGAGAGAGACACAUGGAAAGAGAGUGGGAAGAACACAGGGCAGCCCGGGUACCAGGUGACUCUCCUCUUGGAGCUCGGUGUCACCGAAAGCACACGGAGUGAUUUUCAGGAAAUACCCCCCAACACCGGGCCUGGCUCUUCCAGGGGGGCCCGCGUAAUGACAAAGAGACGGUGGCCGAGGCGUUACAGAUGGAGGGGUGCUGAGGGGCCGUGACAACAAAAGACAACAGCUGCGAAGGGGACAUUUGGGGACAAUCGGAGAAAUGCCGCCUGGGUCAGAACCCCGCAUCUGGGUCAGGUUCCCUGAGUGUAGCAGUCCCGUGGCCAUGGCUGGGGGACAGACUUGGGGGGCACGUGCUGCAGUGUUUAGAUCUCUGUCAGGUGUCGGGGCGCCUGGGAGGCUCAGUCAGUUGAGCAUCUGAC